CAUGUACUCCCUCCGUCCGGAAAUAUUUGUCAUCAAAAUGGAUAAAAGGGGAUGUAUCUAAAUGUAUUUUAGUUCUUGAUACAUCUCUUUUUAUCCAUAUUGAUGACAAGUAUUUUCGGACGGAGAGAGUAUUAA
rfam:Triticum aestivum genome assembly, contig: Triticum_aestivum_CS42_TGACv1_scaffold_404807_5BL